rnacentral:rRNA from 1 species
UAGAGUUUGAUCCUGGCUCAGAAUCAACGCUGGCGGCGUGCCUAACACAUGCAAGUCGAACGCGAAAGUCCCGCAAGGGAUGAGUAGAGUGGCAAACGGGUGAGUAACACGUGGGCGACCUGCCUUCGAGCGGGGGAUAACGUCCCGAAAGGGACGCUAAUACCGCAUGACAUCCUGUCUUUCAAGAGAUGGCGAUCAAAGCUGGGGAUCGCAAGACCUAGCACUCGAAGAGGGGCCCGCGUCCGAUUAGCUAGUUGGUGAGGUAACGGCUCACCAAGGCAACGAUCGGUAGCCGGCCUGAGAGGGCGGACGGCCACACUGGGACUGAGACACGGCCCAGACUCCUACGGGAGGCAGCAGUGGGGAAUUGUUCGCAAUGGGCGUAAGCCUGACGACGCAACGCCGCGUGGAGGAUGAAGAUCUUCGGGUCGUAAACUCCUUUCGAUCGAGACGAAUUCCCCUGGGGUGAACAAUCCCGGGGGUUGACGGUACCGAGAGAAGAAGCCCCGGCUAACUCCGUGCCAGCAGCCGCGGUAAUACGGGGGGGGCAAGCGUUGUUCGGAAUUACUGGGCGUAAAGGGCUCGUAGGCGGCCAACUAAGUCAGACGUGAAAUCCCUCGGCUUAACCGGGGAACUGCGUCUGAUACUGGAUGGCUUGAGUUGGGAGAGGGAUGCGGAAUUCCAGGUGUAGCGGUGAAUGCGUAGAUAUCUGGAGGACACGGUGGCGAGGCGGCAUCCUGGAUCACACUGACGCUGAGAGCGAAGCCAGGGAGCAACGGGAUAGAUACUCCGGUAGUCCUGUCCUCACGAU